AGCAUUGGCCGCUAAGUCAAAAGAUACAAAAAACGCAGCAAUAGCCGAACUGGAACAAGGGCUGGUGCAUUUGGAAGAAGUAGCCUCGACAAAGUUGAGCAAAGGGAAAGCUUUGUUCGGUGGGGAAAAUCUUGGGUACAUGGACAUUGCAUUGGGUCCCUUCUUGGUCUGGAUUGGGAUCAUAGAGAAGCUUAAUGGGGUCAAGCUCCUCAACGAAACCAACACCCCGUCGUUGCUUCGUUGGGCUGAUAGCUUCUUUUCUCAUGCAGUCGUGAAGACUAUUUUUCCUGAAGCUGAAAAGCUUAUAGAAUUUGCUAUGAAGCUUAUACCUGUCUUGAGAGCUAGGCCUGAGCUAAGGUUGCUGCUCGGAAUUAGUGAUUAAUCAGUGAGGAUAUUACUGAGUUAAUAAAAUUUGAAGGUUUGUAGUGUUGGGUCACUGUUGUGCUUUGAAUUUAUAGACUAAUUAAUGUACUGUUUAAUAAGCAAGGAUGUAUUAGAGGGUUUUUUACUAAAAUAUUAUAACAAAAAUAAAAAAUUACCAAAAUUUUAUAACUUUUUUUAUUUAUCAAAAUAUAUUUUUUUUAUUUACCAAAAUAUAUAAAAAAAACAUAAAAAAAAUCUAACCGAUGUGAUGGGUGUACCUUGGUCACGCCAAUGGGAUUGGCGGCACCAAAGGUACCAAAGCCAUUGGCGGCACCAAUGGUUCCAAUACCAUUGGCGGCACUACUCGGAUUAUAAAUACGACCUUUGUCCAGCUGAAGAGAGAAAAAUCAAAAGAAAAAAAAAAGAAGAAGAAAUGUUGCUGCGGAAAAGAAGAGAAAAAGAAGGUAUUUUUUUAAAAAUAAUUGAUUAUAUUGUUGUUAUUAUUUUGUAUAUUUUGUAAUAUUUUUUGUUUUACUUUAUUUAUUAAGAUUAAUAAAACUCAAAAUAAUAGUAUUAGUUAGUAUUAUUAUUAUUAUUAUUAUUAUUAUUAUUAUUAUUAUUAUUGUUGUUGUUGUUGUUAUUGUUGUUGUUGUUGUUGUUGUUGUUAGUAUUAAGAUGUUAUUAAUGUAUUAAGAUGUAACUUAGUAAUAUUAUAGUUAGCAAAAAACUAGUAUUAUUAUUAUGGUUACUUAUUAUUUUUGUUUACGAAAAUAAACUAGUUAGUAAAAAACUAGUAUUAUUAUUAUAGUUAGUUAGUUAUUAUUUUUAGUAAAAUUAAUAAUUUUAGUGUGUAUUAUUUUGUAUAUUAUUUUGAGUAUAAAUUUUUUUUAAGUAAUUUAGUUACCGUUCGAGAAUUUUUAUGAGAUUUUUUUUGACAGAUUAAACAUUUAAGAUGGAUGCUAAGUUUCUUGUAUGCGUUUAUUUCGAUGGAAUCAUCUUGACAACAAGUGUUGGAUGUGUAUUUGAAUGUCGGCAACAAAUAGCAAUGAGAUUUAAUAGAAAUGUAUCGUUCGAUGAAAUGAAGGCAAGGAUUAAUGCAAAAAUUCAUAGACGUUGUGGGAGAAGGAUAUCAAAAAUUUUCUACAAGUUUCCAGUUUCGACAAAUCCGGUCAAAUUCGUCGAAAUGGAACUUGUAGACGACAAAGACGUGGAGAAAAUGGUCGAUCUCUACUGUGGGAAUGGGAGUGAGAAGAAUGCACCGAUUCAUUUAUUUGCUGAGUUAGUCGGUAUGGAGCAAAAUGAAGAUGUUAAUGCAUCUGAUGAAGAAGACGGGGCUGAAGAACCGUGGAUGGUGGCUCCAAUAUCAUACGUUGAUAGUGAAUCAACUAUGGGUGGGAUCGGUAUCGACCUGAAUAUUACACCCGAUGUUGACAUGGUUGGUGGUGAAGAAGAAGGUGGUGGCGAAGAAGAAGGUGGUGGCGAUCAUUGGGAUGAAGAGGUCGAUAGUGACGGUGAUCCCGAUGUUGACGAUGUACAUGAUGAUCUUGAUGAUGAAGAUGUCAACAACGAUAAAGGCAUUAACGCUUUUUCGGUCGGGGAGCAGAUGCGGCGUAUUGUGAUACACAAUAAUCCUGGGCCCACAUGUCGCUCAUAGACCCCGACGCAGCGUAUGUAGCUGAGUUUCCAGAGUACCCUGAAAUAGUUCAUUCUCACGGGCUGCCCGUAACAUCUGAUGAUGAUGAGAUAUUCAUAGGCCAGAGAUUCAGCUGUAAAGAAGAGUGCGUAUAUGCCAUUAAACGGUACAACAUGAAGAUAUCGGUGGAUUAUAAAGUAUUCGUGUCUACUCCGACAAUAUAUGUUGGGGAGUGUUGGAAGGCAGCGGAAGGCUGCAAUUGGCGAGUACGAGCUGCAUUCAUUAGAAGUUCUCAACUGUGGGAGAUACGAAAAUUUGUUGGUCCUCAUACAUGCACAUCAACACGUAUGAUAGAAGAUCAUGGAAAACUUGAUUCGAAAACUAUUUGUGCGUGUAUCAUGCCAAUGGUGAAGGACAUGCCGACCAUUAAAGUUUCAGUACUUAUUGCGGAAAUGCAAGCACGAUUCCAAUAUCGAGUCUCAUAUCGGAAGGCAUGGAUAGCUAAACAGAUGGCGAUGGAGCAACUGUAUGGGGAUUACGAUUCGUCGUAUAACGAGCUUCAAGGUUGGAUAACCAUGUGAAUCCACAUUUGACUAUGAAUGUCCGGGAUCUGGCUGGGGGUCCUGCUCUGGCUCUGUUAGUUGCGGAGAACAAUAUGCCGUCAGAUUUGGAUCCAUCGGGCUCGGGUGGUCCGAUGCCCCAACUUGCUGCACGUACGGGGGGAUUAUAGUCGAUUGCCCUCCAAGUAAAUAUGGCUUCCCGCAACUAUGGUACCAUUGUGUAUACUCCAAUGAUGGUUGCAGGUCCGUAGCCAUAACUAUUUGAGGAAUUCGGUGAAAUCGAUCGUUCCACAGUGCGACGUAUUUCCGGUGCUUGAUUCCCCAGUCCAAUUGAACUCUUCCUCUCUUUGUCAAGCCGUGAUCAUCCUCCAACUGGGCCGGCAGAUCCGGGAUAGGUUGGAUGCACCCAAACUGCCGAAGCACGCGAUCGCCGUGAUACCACUCGACGACGUUGAAAUUAAUAAUUGGUGUGUUAAUGCACCAUAUAUGGGAAUCAACGAGUGCGGACGAGGGUACGACAUUUGUAAUUUCCCGCCUCUGGUAUGGCAUCCAUAUAAACUGCAUGAGCAAUAACAUUGUAACGAGUUAGAUCGAUAACAUGUGAUUAAGAUAUAGAAAUAGAAUAGAUAUCAUGAAUAUUAGAAUAGCAGCGUACCCCUUCCCGGGCAUGCUGUUCAAUCCUCAUGCGGUAUAUCGGGACAUCAGACGACUUCUCGAUGCCAGGACGGGUCGUCCACCUACAAAAAAUAGUAUAGGGUUUAGGGUUGGUAACAUUACUCAAUAUAUUAUGACUACAAAUAAUGACAAUUUAGCGUCUUAUCACCUGAGUGGCAGUGGAUACAGAUAGGGUUGGUGACUAACGCGUGCCAAAAACGGCAUCCGAUAAAGCGCCCACGACUGCAGCAGUAUGAGGCAUCCGCCGAUGUCUUUAACCUGCGGCUCUGUCGCCCGACAAAGCUCUCAGUAGAGCGUUGCUAGAACGACGAAACCCCAGCUAUACCGCCUAGCAAUGGAGAAAUCAGCUAGCAGGGGCAGGUACGACAAAUGCACACAGUCUCCGUUUGCAUCAGGCAUGAGUACUGCCCCUAUCAUAUGCAUGAUGUACGCUCGGGCAACGCACAUCAACUCACCUUCAGUGGCGGUCGCUGAUAAUUGUCUAAUUUUGGCUUUUAGCCAUGUAAAUUUGAUGCCGGAAAAAUAUUUGUCGUCGUCCUCUGACGACUCUCUUAGGAGUUGAUAGCAAACUGCAGCCGGAUCGGUGAAUGACGAUACUCCCGUUAUGGGACUCCCGUCAAUUGGGAGCCCCAGCUGCACUGCAACAUCCUCCAAGGUCACCGUGCACUCCCCGCACGGAAAAUGGAAAGUAUGGGUCUCCGGACGCCAUCGCUCCACUAGCGCAGAUAAUAAAUCAAAGCGCAAGUCGGACGACCGGAUUAAUGCUACUGACCCAAAUCCGGCUAGCUCCAGGUACGGCAGCAAUCGAUCAUCCGGAGCUUUCUUUAAAACACUCACGCGGCCCCUUAAUACUCGGAACGAGUCCUGAUAGUGUUAAAUUACAGAAAAAAAUAUUACGAUAACAUAAUUUCUUUGUAUAUACUGCGUAUAUCCUUUUAAAAUAAAUAGAACUCCUGAUUAACCAAUAAUAAAUCAUACCGCGUUAUUAGCCGCAUCAGAUAUGUGUCUAAUAUUGCUUUGAAUCAAUCCAGCCAUUGCUAUGCCUGCAAGUUGAAAAAAAAGUUAGAAAAAAAUUCUUACUUUGGCCAUUUAUUCGUAUUUUUUUUCUCCGCAUUUUAUUCCUGUAAAAAAUAUGAUAAUUUCUAAAUUUAUAAUUUUACAUUAUUCCAGUGCAUAAUGUUUGAAAUUUAUUAAUCUAGUGUGUUAUUUAAAUUAAUUUUUUGUAAAAAUAACCCUUACCCCUGCCCUUUGCUUGUAUUAAUUUUCUGUAAAAAAAAUAACCAUCACUCUCUUUUUUGCAGUUUUUUUUGAUAUAUUUUGGUAAAUAAAAAUAUAUAUAUUUUGGUAAAUAAAAAAAACUUAUAACAUUUUGGUUAUUUUUAAUUUUUAAUAUAUUUGUAAAAACCCAUUAUUCUGGUAAAAAAAACUUUUAUAAUGUUUUCUUAUUUUUUUAAUAUUUUGGUAAAAAAACCCGAAAUAAACCCUUUUCCCUACCCUUUGGUCGUAUUAUUAUUUUCCCAAUUUUUAUUACUUUCAAGAAAAAUAUAUUAUUUUCGUAUUUUAUUAUUUUAUAUUAUUUCAGUACAUUUUGUUUCAAUUAUUUGUAUAACUUAUUUCUGAAUUUUUUAAAAAAUUUACUAAUACACUCUUACUUCGGCCAUUUGUUUGUAUUUCUUUUCCGUAUUUUAUUAUUUUUAAAAAUAUCGUAAUUUUUUAUUUUAUAAUUUUAUAUUAUUUCAAUUUAUUAUUUUUUUUGUAGAGAGAGUAAAAUGCAAUCUGACUCUUAGUACAUGGGCCACUAUGAUACUUUUACCUUUAGUGACUUAUCUAUAUGGCUCUUUGAUCUAAUGUGUUUGAUUGAAUUGAUGUCACAUAUUAACCGAGUUUAACUCAAUUGUAAAAUUACCAAAAGCCCAUUUCUUAUACAAAGUAACAAAUAUUAUUUUGAUAGUGUUUAUAUCAUUUUAUAGUUUGAUAAAUCUAAAUAUAUAUACAUAUGAUAAAAAUUAUAAGAUUUAAACCCAAAACUUCAUAGCUUUUACUAUAUCAAUUUUAUUGUUUUAAUCACAAUCACAAUCAUAUUUAAUAUUUAUAUUAAUUUUUUAUAAAUUUGUUACAGCUCGUCCCCGCCUUGAUAAUAGCAUUGGCCGCUAAGUCAAAAGAUACAAAAAACGCAGCAAUAGCCGAACUGGAACAAGGGCUGGUGCAUUUGGAAGAAGCAGCCUCGACAAAGUUGAGCAAAGGGAAAGCUUUGUUCGGUGGGGAAAAUCUUGGGUACAUGGACAUUGCAUUGGGUCCCUUCUUGGUCUGGAUUGGGAUCAUAGAGAAGCUUAAUGGGGUCAAGCUGCUCAACGAAACCAACACGCCAUCGUUGCUUCGUUGGGCUGACAGCUUCUUUUCUCAUGCAGUCGUGAAGACUAUUUUUCCUGAAGCUGAAAAGCUUAUAGAAUUUGCUAUGAAGCUUAUACCUGUCUUGAGAGCUAGGCCUGAGCUAAGGUUGCUGCUCGGAAUUAGUGAUUAAUCAGCGAGGAUAUUACCGAGUUAAUAAAAUUUGAAGGUUUGUAAUGUUGGGUCACUGUUGUGCUUUGAAUUUAUAGACUAAUUAAUGUACUGUUUAAUA
rnacentral:lncRNA from 1 species